CUUCUCUGUUAAAUUCUUGUUGCACAUUCUACACAUGUACUAAAGCCCGUGCCACUGUUCAAUGUUCAUAAUGGCAUGAAAAGACGGCUCUGCCCUUCUUUUUUCCAUGAAUUACGGGCUGCCACUGUCAAUCUGGAUUCCGCUGCUGGAAUAGAGAGGAAGAGAAGAGGAUUUGGUUUCGAUAAUACCCAAUUCGUGGUUUUAAUCUUUGCCCAUUCGUGGGUGGGUAUAUAAGCAUAAGCAUCAGGUCUCGAAGCAGUGUCUACACCGACAUCAACUCUUCCAGAUUAUCAACUCUUCCAGAUUAUCAACUCAGCCACCAAGAUCAACAGCGCUGCAAGCUUGCUAGGGCUAAGCUUUUUCUUUUGUUGGAUGUUAUUGAUGACUAUAGUUGUUUUUAGUUUUUCAUUAUCCAAAAGAUUAAAGCUUUUUUGUUUUUUGAAUUACACUUGCCUAAGAGCUGUGGCUUUUGAUAUUCUGAAACAACAAUAGCCUGUAGUAUGGACAUGUGCCUGGUCUGUCAAUUUGUUAGUCUAGGCAAGCAAUGCAUUACUACAGUUGGUGAUUUUUUUUCUUUUUUUUUUUUUGACAGGAUAGAGCAAAGUCGCUUAAGUUACCAAACCAUGUUGGAAUUGAUUGUAGGAACACUCAGAUUACACGAAAAUGCUUUGUGGGAGAUUGGGCAUACUGAUCCUAUACUGGUUUGAGAAAGCUAAUUAACCAUCAAAAGUGGAGGCAGUCAUAUAUCUUUCUUGCAUCUUUGGUUCUCGGAUUUGCCUGUGUAAUUCAUCAAAUGCAAGAGGCCUCCAAGUACUAGGCCCUUCACUGUCAUCAAAAACAGGAAGUCUUUGUUUGAACAUUUAGAAGCACAUUACUAAUACAAAAUGCACAGUAUUAGUGUGUCACCUAUGAAGCCAGAUUCCUCUGCUUCAACAAUUCUGUAGACAUGAGCUGGUAAGAAGGAAAUUAAUUGUCAUUUGAUAAAGAGUGAAAGCAUUUCUUGCUUGAGCAUUUAAUUGAAGAAAGGAACCAAGUAUAUUCUUUAGAAAACAAGUUUAUCUCCAAAUUCAAGUAGGCAUAGAGAGAUAUAACACACAUUUUCAGAAAUGCUUGUGGGAGAUUGGGCAUGCUGGUGCUAUGUGGUUUUGAGAAAGCUAACUAACCAUCAAAAGAGGAGGCAAUCAUUUCUUUCUUGCGUCUUUGGUUCUCGGAUUUGCCUGUGUAACUCAUCAAGUGCAAGAGGCCUCCAAGUACAAGGCCCUUCACUGUCAUGAAAAACAGGAAGUCUUUGUUUGAAGAUUUAGAAGCACAUUGCUAAUACAAGUAAGAGGUGUUAAGAAGCUUCACAUCUCAGGCAUUGACAACUUCCAGAUUGCACAGUAUUAGUUGUGUCACCUAUGAAGCCAAAUUCCUCUGCUUCCACAAUUCUGUAAGUUCCAUGCUUCGGUCAACAACAUGAGUUAUUUAAUGAUUAAAUAAAUUGGGGUAUUGGUAAACUGACAGAAUUGGGUAUACCCAGUUAGUGUGAUUAGGCGAAUAUGGAUUUUUUGCAUCCAUGUACUGCUAAUAGAGUAACUGAGCUUCCCUGGUUUAAAGAUGAAGUUCUUAUCAACUUCAUUCAUGGUCUUUUGGAUGUAAAGGUGAUAAUCUUUUUCUUCUUCAUUACUUCUAUUUGUAAAAAUUUGUUUUUGUGUUCAGUGGAAGAGUUUGAUCUGGUCAUUCUGUGCAUGCUGUUUUUUUCGUGUUAGGAUUUAUUGGUAUGAGGGCCUGGAUUUGUGUUUUGUGUUAAUACAUACUUUCAUGAUUGGUACAUGGCCUUUUUUUUUUCUCUCU